GACAGAGGGUGCAAACGUUGUUCGGAUUUACUGGGCGUAAAGCGCGUGUAGGCGGCCUCGCAAGUUGGAUGUGAAAGCCCACGGCUCAACCGUGGAAGCGCAACCAAGACUGCGAAGCUCGAGUGCCGGAGAGGAAGGUGGAAUGCUCGGAGUAGAGGUGAAAUUCGUAGAUUUCGAGUGGAACACCUGCGGCGAAGGCGGCCUUCUGGACGGUGACUGACGCUGAGACGCGAAAGCGUGGGGAGCAAACAGG
rnacentral:rRNA from 1 species